AGAGUUUGAUCCUGGCUCAGGAUGAACGCUGGCGGCGUGCUUAACACAUGCAAGUCGAGCGAAGCGCUUUGGAAAGAUUCUUCGGAUGAUUUCCUUUGUGACUGAGCGGCGGACGGGUGAGUAACGCGUGGGUAACCUGCCUCAUACAGGGGGAUAACAGUUAGAAAUGACUGCUAAUACCGCAUAAGACCACGGUACCGCAUGGUACAGUGGUAAAAACUCCGGUGGUAUGAGAUGGACCCGCGU
rnacentral:rRNA from 1 species